rnacentral:rRNA from 1 species
AUUGAACGCUGGCGGCAUGCCUUACACAUGCAAGUCGAACGGCAGCACGGACUUCGGUCUGGUGGCGAGUGGCGAACGGGUGAGUAAUAUAUCGGAACAUACCUUGUAGUGGGGGAUAACUAUCCGAAAGGAUAGCUAAUACCGCAUACGCUCUAAGGAGGAAAGUGGGGGAUCGCACGACCUCAUGCUAUGAGAGUGGCCGAUAUCUGAUUAGCUAGUUGGUGAGGUAAAGGCUCACCAAGGCGAUGAUUGGUAACUGGUCUGAGAGGACGACCAGUCACACUGGGACUGAGACACGGCCCAGACUCCUACGGGAGGCAGCAGUGGGGAAUAUUGGACAAUGGGGGCAACCCUGAUCCAGCGAUGCCGCGUGGGUGAAGAAGGCCUUCGGGUUGUAAAGCCCUUUAGGUUGGGAAGAAGGGUGUAGUAGGAAAUGACUGCACUUUGACGGUACUGACAGAAUAAGCACCGGCAAACUCUGUGCCAGCCGCCGCCGUAAUAC